rnacentral:lncRNA from 1 species
CUUUGUCAUGAAGUUGUACAUAUAAAUGGUUCAAAAUCAGAGAAGAAGAAUGGAGACAUUAAAAGGUCUCUAGAGAAGUUCAGACUCAGCUUCUGCCUUAUGCCAACAAAAUUUGAAAAACCUAUGGAAAGAGAGAAAACAACUGGCCCAAAAUCUAAGGAUAGAAAGUAUCUCCAGGGAGAAAGGAGAUUUGCACCCAUGAUCAUCUGAAGGUAGAUACAGGUCUGAGCAGACAGACAGAAGCCAGCACAACUGCAGGAGAAAUGAAAUGAGGUUCUAAGCCACCUUACAGCUUAUAUUGGCCCCACCAGUCUUUUUGUUCAUUGGUUACGUGAGUCAAAUUUAUAUCCCUAAAUCCGGAAUAUGCUGCCUCCAGAAUCCAAAGAAGCCUGAGAAGCAUGGUGAUUCCUUCUUAGUGGUGGAAAGAAUGAGUUAUACACAAGAUGAAUGGAUUAACCACUGGAAGACCUGCACUACUACAAAUGUUAAAGAAAGUCCUUCCAAGAAAGAAAAAAGGCAACUUAAUGGAAACUUGUGUCUACCAAAUGGAAAGAAGAGCAAUGGGAAUCCUAACUACGAGUGUGAGAAAAAAAGUUGAAUGUGGUGAUGGGGAAAACACUGAAGUUCAAAAGAAGCGAAGACAAGAAGCUACUCAUGGCAGCAGCUUUUCCCAUAAAUCAAGAAAUGCUACAGAUUAUAAAUGAGAUGAGACUAUCAAGAAGAGACCUAAUAGGAGUGUGAAGACCAAAAAUUUAAAAGACGUGGUUAUAUACUUUGAGUAAACUCUAUAUAUAGGACAAUGUUAUUGUUUGGUUCUGUGUUCCUCACUCAAAUCUCACCUCAAAUUAUAAUCCCCAUGUGUCAAGGGCAGGACCAGGUGGAAGUAACUGGAUCAUGGGGGAAGUUUUCCUCAUGCUUUUCUCAUAGUAAGUGAGUUCUCAUAAGAUCUGAUUUUUUUAUAAGCAUAUGGCAUUUCCCCUCCUAGCAUUUUGCCUCCUGCUGCCUUGCAAAGACGGCAGUUGCUUCCCCUUUGCCUUCCGCCAUGACUGUAAGUUCCCUGAGUCCUCUCCAGCCAUGUGGAACUGUGGGUUA